ACAGUCUUGAAAUCGCAUGCAACGUAUUACAUAUGGCCAUUGGAUACUAUCGACCCUGGCUACAAUUUCCUUCAGAAAGGCAAUUUUAAAAACAGCGAUACCAAUCGUUCAUUUGUGGAGCUGAAAACCCCUUGAAAACCCUAGGAAAACAAUUUAUACAAUUUUAUCAAUUGUUUUGUAGUUCUUUAAAAUAGAACCAAUGCAAUGAGAAAGCUCCACUUCAUAAUGUCUAUUUAUAUGUACAAGUCAAUCACAAAAACCAAUUUCAGUGUUGAGAUAAGAAUUGGGGAAUAUUUCUAACAAUUUACAUUUUAAUUUACUUUAUAUUACAAGAUUUUAAACUCUGUUUGCUUUGACCCCGAGGAAAUGACUUACAAAUCGCGCGUGCCGUCUUCCCAGUCGAAUCUUUACCCGUCUCACCCGGGUAAACACAAGACGAUAUCGAAAAACAAUAGUCAUAUCCGAAUACUGGGGUUUCCCCCUAAACUUCUCUUUAUCCAAGAAUGCUUUCCUAGAAUCGAUAUUUCAAAGACCGGAUAGUCCUACUGAUGUUAUAGGAAAACGUUGACUUAAACAAAACAACGGAGUGCUUCAUCCUCGUUGCAAUCGCUAUCCGGUACACACCAGAUUAUUGUAACUAUUGAACUGAACCUGUUACAUCUUCAUGAAGAAUUUUGAAGUCUUUUGGCUUAGUUCCUAGACCAAUUCUCUUUGUGGUGGUGCUAAGAUGUUUCCCAGCCAGAAGGAGGAGAGG